rnacentral:rRNA from 1 species
GAUGAACGCUGGCGGCGUGCCUAAUACAUGCAAGUCGAGCGAACAGACGAGGAGCUUGCUCCUCUGACGUUAGCGGCGGACGGGUGAGUAACACGUGGAUAACCUACCUAUAAGACUGGGAUAACUUCGGGAAACCGGAGCUAAUACCGGAUAAUAUAUUGAACCGCAUGGUUCAAUAGUGAAAGACGGUUUUGCUGUCCCUUAUAGAUGGAUCCGCGCCGCAUUAGCUAGUUGGUAAGGUAACGGCUUACCAAGGCAACGAUGCGUAGCCGACCUGAGAGGGUGAUCGGCCACACUGGAACUGAGACACGGUCCAGACUCCUACGGGAGGCAGCAGUAGGGAAUCUUCCGCAAUGGGCGAAAGCUUGACGGAGCAACGCCGCGUGAGUGAUGUAGGUCUUCGGAUCGUAAAACUCUGUUAUUAGGGAAGAACAAAUGUGUAAGUAACUAUGCACGUCUUGACGGUACCUAAUCAGAAAGCCACGGCUAACUACGUG